CGCGGUAAUACGAAGGGGGCUAGCGUUGCUCGGAAUCACUGGGCGUAAAGGGUGCGUAGGCGGGUCUUUAAGUCAGGGGUGAAAUCCUGGAGCUCAACUCCAGAACUGCCUUUGAUACUGAAGAUCUUGAGUUCGGGAGAGGUGAGUGGAACUGCGAGUGUAGAGGUGAAAUUCGUAGAUAUUCGCAAGAACACCGGUGGCGAAGGCGGCCAACUGGACCAUUACUGACGCUGAGGCGCGAAAGCGUGGGGAGCAAACAGGAUUAGAUACCCUGGUAGUCCACGC
rnacentral:rRNA from 1 species